rnacentral:precursor_RNA from 10 species
AUGGUGUUCGUCGUGGUCUGUCGAGUGCUGGGCUUACACUUGGAACGCCUUCUUGUCCUUCGAAAUUCAGGAAGAUGUUCCUAAUGUAGGCUUCUGCGCUUGACAACGGUCUCACGUCCGAUGC